UUUAUUGGAGAGUUUGAUCCUGGCUCAGGAUGAACGCUGGCGGCGUGCCUAAUACAUGCAAGUCGAGCGAAUGGAUUGAGAGCUUGCUCUCAAGAAGUUAGCGGCGGACGGGUGAGUAACACGUGGGUAACCUGCCCAUAAGACUGGGAUAACUCCGGGAAACCUGGCGGCGUGCCUAAUACAUGCAAGUCGAGCGAAUGGAUUGAGAGCUUGCUCUCAAGAAGUUAGCGGCGGACGGGUGAGUAACACGUGGGUAACCUGCCCAUAAGACUGGGAUAACUCCGGGAAAC
rnacentral:rRNA from 1 species